AGCCUCAGUCAAGCGGCCCCAGAUGAUGGCAUGCAGACCAGAGAAGAGCUGUCCCUGCCAACACCUCCCCAUGUUACAGAAUCUUGAGCAAAUGUUUGGCCACGUGAUGCAAAGAGCCAACUUGUUGGAAAAAACCCUGAUGUUUGGGAAGAUUGAAGGCAGGAGAAGAAGGGGAAAGAGAAUGAGAUGGUUGGAUGGCAUCAUCGACUCAAUGGACAUUUUGCCCUGGUGUCCUGGACUACAGGUGAGUCCAUUGGUCGGCCUGAAGCCUUCAGACCCAGAAGCUGAACUACCUGCGUGCCUUCCUCCUCCCAAACCCAGACGACACUUGACUCUACCCCGCCCGGCAAGCCAGCUUGUGGUCACAAUUGCCUCCCUAUUUGCACCCUGCCUCAAUCAGCAUCACACAAGACCUAUCUUUUAGCCCUCCUCUCUUUUC
ensembl:lncRNA